rnacentral:rRNA from 1 species
UGCGCGGAAGAUGUAACGGGGCUAAACCAUGCACCGAAGCUGCGGCAGCGACACUAUGUGUUGUUGGGUAGGGGAGCGUUCUGUAAGCCUGCGAAGGUGACCUGUGAGGGUUGCUGGAGGUAUCAGAAGUGCGAAUGCUGACAUAAGUAACGAUAAAGCGGGUGAAAAGCCCGCUCGCCGGAAGACCAAGGGUUCCUGUCCAACGUUAAUCGGGGCAGGGUGAGUCGACCCCUAAGGCGAGGCCGAAAGGCGUAGUCGAUGGGAAACAGGUUAAUAUUCCUGUACUUGGUGUUACUGCGAAGGGGGGGACGGAGAAGGCUAUGUUAGCCGGGCGACGGUUGUCCCGGUUUAAGCAUGUAGGCUGGUUAUCCAGGCAAAUCCGGAUAAUCAAGGCUGAGGUGUGAUGACGAGGCACUACGGUGCUGAAGUAACAAAUGCCCUGCUUCCAGGAAAAGCCUCUAAGCAUCAGGUAACAUCAAAUCGUACCCCAAACCGACACAGGUGGUCAGGUAGAGAAUACCAAGGCGCUUGAGAGAACUCGGGUGAAGGAACUAGGC